AACGCUAGCUACAGGCUUAACACAUGCAAGUCGAGGGGUAGCACGGAGGAAGCUUGCUUCCUUGGGUGACGACCGGCGCACGGGUGAGUAACGCGUAUCCGACCUACCCAUAACUCGGGCACAGCCGCUCGAAAGAGUGAUUGAUUCCCGAUAUGUCAUUANAGUANAUUUAAUGAUGAAAGAUUCAUCGGUUAUGGAUGGGGAUGCGUAAGAUUAGGUAGUAGGCGGGGUAACGGCCCACCUAGCCGACGAUCUUUAGGGGUUCUGAGAGGAAGGUCCCCCACACUGGUACUGAGACACGGACCAGACUCCUACGGGAGGCAGCAGUGAGGAAUAUUGGUCAAUGGGCGGAAGCCUGAACCAGCCAAGUAGCGUGAAGGGAUUACAGCCCUACGGGUUUUAAACUUCUUUUAUAUAAGAGUAAUGUGCACUACGUGUAGUGUAUUGCAAGUAUUAUAUGAAUAAGCAUCGGCUAACUCCGUGCCAGCAGCCGCGGUAAUACGGAGGAUGCGAGCGUUAUCCGGAUUUAUUGGGUUUAAAGGGAGCGUAGGCGGGAUAUUAAGUCAGUCGUCAAAGCCUGUGGCUCAACCACAGCCCGCGAUUGAUACUGGUAACCUUGAGUGCGGAUGAGGUGGAUGGAAUUCGUGGUGUAGCGGGAAAUGCUUAGAUAUCACGAAGAACUCCGAUUG
rnacentral:rRNA from 1 species